GUACGCUGGCGGCACGCCUAACACAUGCAAGUCGAACGAAGUAGCAAUACUUAGUGGCAGACGGGUGAGUAACAUGUGGGUAUCUGCCCUAUGGCCUGGAAUAACACGAGGAAACUUGUGCUAAUACCGGAUAAGUCUUUACGGAGAAAGCUUUAUGCACCAUUGGAUGAGCCCGCACUUGAUUAGUUUGUUGGUGGGGUAAUGGCCUACCAAGACUGUGAUCAAUAGCUGAUUUGAGAGGAUGAUCAGCCACAUUGGGACUGAGACACGGCCCAAACUCCUACGGGAGGCAGCAGUGGGGAAUCUUGCACAAUGGAGGAAACUCUGAUGCAGCGAUGCCGCGUGAGUGAAGAAGGCCCUUGGGUUGUAAAGCUCUUUCGUCGGGGAAGAAAAUGACUGUACCCGAAUAAGAAGGUCCGGCUAACUUCGUGCCAGCAGCCGCGGUAAUACGAAGGGACCUAGCGUAGUUCGGAAUUACUGGGCUUAAAGAGUUCGUAGGUGGUUGAAAAAGUUGGUGGUGAAAUCCCAGAGCUUAACUCUGGAACUGCCAUCAAAACUUUUCAGCUAGAGUAUGAUAGAGGAAAGCAGAAUUUCUAGUGUAGAGGUGAAAUUCGUAGAUAUUAGAAAGAAUACCAAUUGCGAAGGCAGCUUUCUGGAUCAUUACUGACACUGAGGAACGAAAGCAUGGGUAGCGAAGAGGAUUAGAUACCCUCGUAGUCCAUGCCGUAAACGAUGUGUGUUAGACGUUGGAAAUUUAUUUUCAGUGUCGCAGCGAAAGCGAUAAACACACCGCCUGGGGAGUACGACCGCAAGGUUAAAACUCAAAUGAAUUGACGGGGACCCGCACAAGUAGUGGAGCAUGUGGUUUAAUUCGAAGAUACGCGCAGAACCUUACCAACACUUGACAUGUUCGUCGCGACUCUAAGAGAUUAGAGUUUUCGGUUCGGCCGGACGAAACACAGGUGCUGCAUGGCUGUCGUCAGCUCGUGUCGUGAGAUGUUGGGUUAAGUCCCGCAACGAGCGCAACCCUCACUUUUAGUUGCCAUCAUUUAGUUGGGCACUCUGAAAGAACUGCCAGUGAUAAGCUGGAGGAAGGUGGGGAUGACGUCAAGUCCUCAUGGCCCUUACGUGUUGGGCUACACACGUGCUACAAUGGUAUCUACAACAGGAAGCAAGACGGCGACGUUAAGCAAAUCCUUAAAAGAUACCUCAGUUCGGAUUGCACUCUGCAACUCGAGUGCAUGAAGCUGGAAUUACUAGUAAUCGUGGAUCAGCGUGCCACGGUGAAUGCGUUCCCGGGUCUUGUACACACCGCCCGUCACACCAUGGGAGUUGGUUCUACCUUAAGGCAAGGUUUAAAACCCUUGACCACGGUAUAGUCAGCGACUGGGGUGAAGUCGUAACAAGGUAGCCGUA
rnacentral:rRNA from 1 species